rnacentral:rRNA from 1 species
UGGGGAAUAUUGCACAAUGGGGGAAACCCUGAUGCAGCGACGCCGCGUGAACGAAGAAGGUAUUCGUAUCGUAAAGUUCUGUCCUAUGGGAAGAUAAUGACAGUACCAUAGAAGAAAGCUCCGGCUAAAUACGUGCCAGCACCCGCGGUACUACGUAUGGAGCGAGCGUUGUCCGGAAUUAUUGGGCGUAAAGGGUACGCAGGCGGUUUAAUAAGUCGAAUGUUAAAGAUCGGGGCUCAACCCCGCCAAGCAUUGGAAACUGAUUAACUUGAGUGGUGGAGAGGAAAGUGGAAUUCCUAGUGUAGUGGUGAAAUACGUAGAUAGUAGGAAGAAUACCAGUAGCGAAGGCGACUUUCUGGACACAAACUGACGCUGAGGUACGAAAGCGUGGGGGGCAAGCAGG